UGGGGGAUAUUGCACAAUGGGCGAAAGCCUGAUGCAGCGACGCCGCGUGGGGGAUGAAGGCUUUCGGGUUGUAAACCUCUUUCGCUAUCGAACAAGGCCCGCUUAGGGUGGGUUGAGGGUAGGUGGAGAAGAAGCGCCGGCUAACUACGUGCCAGCAGCCGCGGUAAUACGUAGGGCGCGAGCGUUGUCCGGAAUUAUCUGGCGUAAAGGGCUUGUAGGCGGCUUGUUGCGCCUGCUGUGAAAACGCGGGGCUUAACUUCGCGCGUGCAGUGGGUACGGGCAGGCUUGAGUGUGGUAGUGGUGACUGUAAUUCCAGGUGUAGCAGUGGAAUGCGCAGAUAUCUGGAGGAACACCGAUGGCGAAGGCAGGUCACUGGGCCAUUACUGACGCUGAGGAGCGAAAGCAUGGGUAGCGAACAGG
rnacentral:rRNA from 1 species